AGGUGCAAUGGAGGUCACACGCCUAGACGAUGGGCCUUCUUGAUCACAACACCUGCCAGAUCUUAAUGAAUUCGGAACAUCACAUGCAUCAGAAAUGUCGAAUCUUUUCUUGAGAUCUCUUAUGAUUGGAAUGGGAAGUUGCCACAUAUAUAGUCAUUGAUACUCUUGGCAAGAGUUUAUCACAGGAAAGUGAAAAGGAAUUAUAUGAAAGCAAUUACUUCACAACCUGUUUUCUUUGAAUCAAUUUCCUUGUUUAUAUUUUUCUGCGUAGUUCACUAUACACGGCUCAAGAAUGCGUCUGCAUAGCAUAAUUAGAAUUGCAUAAAUAAAUAAGCGUAUGUUGAUGAUCCAGGGAUUGACAACCCGUGAUUCUAGAGAUUUUUUCCUUCCGGGCAGCAAUUAUCCUUCUUGGUUAGCCUAUACCUGAGGAUAGUGAUUGUAUCAUGAAGGGAAUAAGUUUAUGUGUUGUUUAUUCAUCAACACCUGAAAACCUGGCAACUGAUUGAAUGUCUCCCUAGUGUCUUGAUCAUUAAUUACACAAAAUUCACCAUCCAGAUUUACAAGCAAGACACCGUAAGGUCGUUCAAUGAUGAAGAUUGGCAAAGUGUGUAGUAUCAAAUUUAGGAGUUGGUGACAAUGUGGAGAAUUUUGUAGCUUUUGGGCAUGGAUUUAUUGAUGCAAAAAUGGAGUUAUUACAAGCAGAGGAAGUGUUACUAUCACCAAAUGUAAAAACAGUGACAUCGCCUAAAGUGGAAGUGCAAGCAUGUCCUAAUGUGAAGAUGGAGCCAUCACUUAUUGUGAAGAAGAAUGAGGCAUUACCAAAGCCAAACAAAAAAAAACUUUACAAGACUUGCAAUUUGCAAAGAGAGUGGGAGAAUGUUUAUGCAUGAACCAGAAUAGUCAAUAGUCCCUUGAAUAAGCUAUCUAAUAUGUAAUAUUUUUUAGGAAGAAAGGGCAGGCAUA